UACGUAGGGGGCGAGCGUUGUCCGGAGUUACUGGGCGUAAAGCGCACGCAGGCGGUCUGCUAAGUUUGGAGUGACAGUUGGUGGCUUAACUGCCAAAGUGCUUCGAAAACUGACAGACUUGAGGGCUUCAGAGGGACACGGAAUUCCGGGUGGAGUGGUGAAAUGCGUAGAGAUCCGGAGGAACACCAAAGGCGAAGGCGGGUCUCUGGGCCGAUAUUGACGCUGAGGAGCGAAAGCGUGGGGAGCGAACAGG
rnacentral:rRNA from 1 species